GAAAUGCGAUAAGUAAUGUGAAUUGCAGAAUUCCGUGAAUCAUCGAAUCUUUGAACGCACAUUGCGCCCUCUGGCAUUCCGGGGGGCAUGCCUGUCCGAGCGUCAUUACGCACCCUCAAGCCCGGCUUGUGUGAUGGGCCCUGGCGUCUCGUUCGCGAGACGGGCCCGAAAGGCAGCGGCGGCGUCGACCCGAUGAGCCCGAGCGUAUGUGGACUUUUGUCACACGUUUGCGGUGCGGACCGGCGCCUGCUUGACUUUUCUGAUUAUCCAGGUUGACCUCGGAUCAGGUAGGGAUACCCGCUGAACUUAAGC
rnacentral:misc_RNA from 1 species